ACACAAGACAAAACAACAACAAUGACCAACAUCAUCAUCCUCAUCUGGAGACUGACUCUUGGCAUUCAAGAGAUCUGGGGACAAGUGACAGUGACUCAGAAUCCAGAAAUAAAAUCCAUCAAACAAGGAGAAACUGUUACAAUCAACUGUAAAACCAGUCAGUUGACGUCUAACUGUAAUGAAUGUGUGUCUUGGUAUCAGCAGAAACCUGGAGAAGCUCCUAAACUCCUCAUAUAUUACAUAAACAGACUUCAGUCAGGAACUCCAUCCAGAUUCAGUGGCAGUGGAUCUAGAUUUGGAAGUGAUUUCACUCUAACCAUCAGUGGAGUCCAGACUGAAGAUACAGGAGAUUAUUACUGUCAGAGUUACCACUACAUCAACAGUAAAAGUGUGUUCACACAGUGA